ACAGAGCAUCUGGUUGAAUUUUCAAAGUAUAAGUUAAUAUGAACAAUUUUCAUGAAAAAACGAUUCAUAAGACAAAGACUGUAUAUAAAAUGAUGCUCCAAGUUUUUUGUCAUUUUUCAACUGGUUUUUGACCCCAAAAUUUUAAAACACAUGUACAAAUGUUUGGGUCAAUUAUGACACUUAUCCCACUCCUUCUUUAUACUUGUUUAAAUAUAUCAUGGUAAGUAGUUAUAAGAAAAAUCUAGCUCUAUCAAUUGUUCAAAUCAGAAGUUGAUAAUCAAUGUAUUGUUAUACAAUUACCAUAUUAUUACAAAUUGUAAUUCAGCAUUUUUUUAAUCACUGAUGUAAAUAAAUAGUAAAAAUAGUGGAAACAAAUGACAAUAAAUAUUUAUUUUCAUCAGUUUAUAUGUUUUAGUUUACUUAGCAUUUAAAAUCGUCUUUCAAAUGACAUUCUUGAUGAAUGUUAAAUAAAAUGUAUUUGAAACCUCUGCACAGAAAUCUAAUAGUGUUGUCAUUUGGUGGUCCCUAAUUGGAACAAUUGAUUUUAGGUAGCAAGUCAUGCUUUCAUUGUGAGUUAUUUACCAGAUAGAGGGGAUUGCCUGUAUCCUACUCUACUAAAUUUCAUCAAAGCAUCUUCGUGAUCGUCUUUAUGCAUGAUAAACUUAAGAUAUUUGUUUCGUUAUGUACUUAAUCACAAUUCCCUAAAUGACAGCAAUACUGAUUAUCAAAUUAAAAUAUUUUAAGUGUCGAAUAAAUUGUGCAGUAUAGCCAUCAAUGUUCAUUAACCACUCGCUCAACAAGGGAUCACAAGUGAUGAUGCCCUUAAAAGCAUGAAUGAUGUACACAAAAAUCGAAGUUUUUGAUGGAAAUGCAACCAACUCGAAAGUGGUCUAUUGAUAAAAUAGAAAUGAUAUUUCUAGAUACUUUAAAAAAAAAUGCAGAAUUUGGUCCAAAAUAUUUUAAACUGCAAACGUAUUGGCAUCAACAAUUUAGUACAAUCAUAAAGAUUAUCAACAAAGACUCCUGAUCAGUACUCUUUGGUAUAAUGAAUUUCUUUAAGCUCAUUUGAUAAAAGGAGACUUGAAUAUACUGCAUUGAGGCAGCAAUUAACAACAUCAAAAAGCUAAAGCCAUCCAUCUACUUAUCAACAUGAUGUCUAUUCUGGUAGCUAGUUUAAUCUUAAUAUGCUUGCAUAAUAGAUAAUUGUGUACAUGUCAGUAAUGAUGUGAAUGCAAGAUAUCAUUUUUGAGUUUCAAAAACCUCCAAUAGAAAGUUACAAUUAUUUUUAAACACAUGUAUAAGAGUUAUACUAAAUUUUUUAAAGCAAAAGCUCACUAAAACACAUCACUUGUCAAGUUAGACAUGUGUUUUAUUUGAUGAACGUAUUGUAUUAUGUUAAAUAUAUUAUGAGGAAUAAACCUUAC
rnacentral:lncRNA from 1 species